AAGGUUUGAUGCAUGUCCAUAAUAAGCUGGUGGACCCAGUGCUCAGCAUAAAGGACCAGUGAAGGACAGACGGUGGAAUCAGCUUGUUCCUCUGCUGCUGUUCAGUUCCUGAGGAGGUGUUGAGCAGUGUCUCAGUGUCCUCCUGUUUGCACACGCUCAGACCUGAGCUGCUCCUGGAAGAUGUCUCAGAGUUAAUGACAGCUACAUGAUGUUGAGCAGCUCCACUGAAGCAGUGUACUGUCGUUUUGGAGAAGUACAAUAUAUCGUUUUACAGUGCUUUUUUCCCCCCAGCUGACUUUCAAAUGACUGUUAAAGCUCCUUCAACGGCGUCUGGAUUGCAUUUUUUUAACACUGCCCGUGCAGUCAGUAUCCUGCAGACUUUGAUUUAAGUGUGAAGGGGAGAUACGUUUCUAUCUUUAGUGUUUACUUUCUGUUCUUGGUGUCACUCCGUCUGUUCAUCAGGCUUCUUCUUCUUUGUGUUUGUGCACAAUCUCUAUAGUUUUUAACACUUUAUUUUGUAAAGACAAAACAUUGAGUGUCCUGCUUUGUACUUUGAGUUGAAAUAAAGUUUAAGUGGAAAA